rnacentral:lncRNA from 1 species
CACAGGCUUGGUAUCUCUCUUUUCAUUUCAUAGGGAACCAAAGGAGACAGAGGUGAAAAUGGUCAGAAGGGAGAACCAGGAACUGGGUUCAGAGGCCCCAUUGGUCAGGUUGGGCCCCCUGGAUACAAGGGUGAACCAGGAGCCCCAGGGCCUCCAGGAGCACAGGGCAUCCAGGGCAUUCGUGGCAACACCGGCAUUCCCGGAUCACGGGGAGAGAGAGGAACUCCCGGUCUGCCUGGGGUGCCAGGACAGAAGGGAGGCCGUGGUAAGAGAGGACGAAAUGGAUUCACUGGGCCAGCUGGACCAGCAGGAUUCCCAGGGAAAGAGGUGA